rnacentral:lncRNA from 1 species
CCCCCACCCCCGGCUCCAGAGCAACAGUCAUUUUUUUUUUACAGGCCUCCAAAUGCUCUCCGUUUCCUUCAAACAGAGAGCCUAACUCUCUCUGCCACCAGAGUAUAGCCUCCAUCGGGGUAAAAACUAUGUCUGCUUUACUCAUCGCUGUUUCCACGAAGCCUAGAACAAAUGUUUAUUGAAGGAAUGAAAGAGAAGAAUGCCUUGAAGCUUAGUGUGGCUGUGACCACAGAGGCUCUCUGCCCUUAGAGUGAAAUGACUAUUCUCAGACAACUCUCAGCAGCUGUUGGAGAAGUCGUGUGGCUAAUUCCCAGACUGCAGUUUAUCACAGGCCACGGUGGGGCCGCUGCUCGGAGUUCAGGCAACACAGUAACUUCAAAGCCUCUAGGAUGCACCGCUUCAAGUUCUGAGUUGGGGAAGCCACACUUGCCGCCACGUCCCUCUGGGGCAGCAACCAGCAGUUUAGCUCUGGUGACAUCAGGAAGAACCAAGAGAGAAGAAACAGAGGGCAGAUUAAGGAGUUACUGUAUGACUUCCUCUCAAGCUUGAUGUGCUAUCACUCUAAAAUCAAACUGUCGCUGGCCUGAUUCCACUCUGUCAAAUGUAUGCAGCGGAGAAAGGGGAUACACCAGCAGCUGGAGGAGCCGAGCGGAAGGAAGGAGACUAAAACAUAUUAAUCCCAUUUUAAGCAACAGGCACUAUGUUAAAUGCUUUCAGAUACAAUACCACAUUUAAUCCUCAUGGCAAUCUUGCAAGGACAGUAUCAUUAUGAUUAUUUUCACACAUAAAGAAACUGAGGCUCAGAGAAAUUAAGAUUUGAGUCAGGGUCUAUUUAACUCCAAAACCUAUGGGUCAGAAGUGACAGUUCAUUCGGAGUUCCAGCUAGAACUACCAGAGAUCUUAGGCCGGGUCUCCAGGAAUCCUUGAGACAAGACUUGUAUAAGAUUGAGGCCAAAGAUAAGUCUAAAUGAGUUGGACCUAUCCAUUGAGCAGUGGGUUUCUUUAUUGGCCAAAUACUCUACAAAGCUCUCCCUUGAUGGGCAAGUUGAAAUUCUUUCAACAGAAUGAAGACCUAUAGUCAUCAUGGGAAUACUGCUAUCUUGCUCUUUCAACUCUAAAUUCUACUUCUUGGAACCAGGUCACAGACUUGCAAAACUUUCCAUCUACAAUUCUGCUUAGUGUGUUAAGAUCAGAUGAACAGGGCUGAGGAAGCUGUAGGCAGACAGAAUUAGCGGUAAUUCUUUCCCACAAUACGGCACUCCAUUCUUCUAACAUACCUCAAGUGCAUGCCCUCGGCCAAAACAGAUCUGGCAAGAGGGAGAUUAACAAUGAUGACAAAAAUAGUCCCUGACUUGAUAAAACAAAUAUCAACUGGGUCAGGGGACAAGAACUGCCCAUAACCAACCUUGGGAUCUAAUACGUUCUUCAUUAGGACAGGAUUGCACCAUCUUAAGUAUUUCACCUCGUGCUAACUCUGAAGUUAGACCUUAUACCACUGCCCUUGAACUUAGUCAAUAUUUGCAAACUGCAGGAGGAAAAAAAGAGGAUAUAGAUCAGCAAGAGGGAUAAAUGCAAGAUAUUCUGGAAUACCUUUUCUGGGUUUUUUGUAAGCUCAUCAUUCCUUCUUUGUUAAUCUUUCAGGACUGACCCUUGGAGACCAGGUUAUUCAGGCAGAUGUGUUAUGAGAUAUUGUGUGCAUUGUGGGGAGGGGGGAGGUGGUGGGGACAGUAAAUUUUCGUUGAAUAAAAUGUGGCUUUGUCUUGGUGUGGGCUCCCUA